rnacentral:rRNA from 1 species
AGAGUUUGAUCCUGGCUCAGGAUGAACGCUGGCGGCGUGCCUAACACAUGCAAGUCGAGCGAAGCAGGUUUCAUGAAGUUUUCGGAUGGAUUGAGACUUGACUGAGCGGCGGACGGGUGAGUAACGCGUGGGUAACCUGCCUUAUACAGGGGGAUAACAGUUAGAAAUGACCGCUAAUACCGCAUAAGCGCACGGCUCCGCAUGGAGCAGUGUGAAAAACUGAGGUGGUAUAAGAUGGACCUGCGUCUGAUUAGGUAGUUGGUGAGGUAACGGCCCACCAAGCCGACGAUCAGUAGCCGACCUGAGAGGGUGACCGGCCACAUUGGGACUGAGACACGGCCCAAACUCCUACGGGAGGCAGCAGUGGGGAAUAUUGCACAAUGGGCGAAAGCCUGAUGCAGCGACGCCGCGUGAGUGAAGAAGUAUUUCGGUAUGUAAAGCUCUAUCAGCAGGGAAGAGAAUGACGGUACCUGACUAAGAAGCCCCGGCUAACUACGUGCCAGCAGCCGCGGUAAUACGUAGGGGGCAAGCGUUAUCCGGAUUUACUGGGUGUAAAGGGAGCGUAGACGGUCUGCCAAGUCUGAAGUGAAAGCCCGGGGCUCAACCCCGGUACUGCUUUGGAAACUGAUGGACUGGAGUGCUGGAGAGGUAAGCGGAAUUCCUAGUGUAGCGGUGAAAUGCGUAGAUAUUAGGAGGAACACCAGUGGCGAAGGCGGCUUACUGGACGGUAACUGACGUUGAGGCUCGAAAGCGUGGGGAGCAAACAGGAUUAGAUACCCUGGUAGUCCACGCCGUAAACGAUG